AAGAACAUCAGAAGUUGAAUUUGGUUUGUAGGCUGCUCGUUUUGUCUGGGAUGCUGAACUCUUUGGACAAACAGAAGAAUCAAUAGACUAUCCCAUUUGGGAAUUUUCCAACUGUCUUGAAGAAGCACUUUCUAGAACAGCAGUUCUCAACUUGUGGGUCAUGUCCCAUUUUUUUUUUAAUUUUUUUUUUUUGGUUCUUUUUUUUCGGAGCUGGGGACCGAACCCAGGGCCUUGCGCUUCCUAGGCAAGCGCUCUACCACUGAGCUAAAUCCCCAACCCCAUGUCCCAUUUUUGGGUUACACAUCAGAUAGUCACAUUGCAAUUCAUGUCAGUGACGAAAUUACAGUUAAAAAGUAGCAACAAAAUGGGGUCACCUCAGCACGAGGACCUGUAUUAAAGGCUUGCAGCAGUAGGAAGGUUGAGGACCACUGUGCUAGAGAGUCUUGGAUGGCUAUUUAGUUUGUCACUGAAAUUUACAUCAGGGAGAGAAGCCUGGCUGUGUCUAUUCAAAUACAGCAAAAGAGAAGAACUCACGUUUUCUGGAAGUCUUCAGUUCUCAAGGUUUUAUCUUUCUUAUCUUCCGAUGCUAUUUUCAGAGGAAAUGCAUUCUGUUUAUUAACUACACUACAGUGUAGACGAUUUCCCCCACCCCCUCCCUCGGGGUCCUUUGCAAUCAUGUGCUCUGUCCUUGAGCUAUAUCAGGAGCCGAACCUAGUAGGUUUUAACACAUCUGCUUGGAGUUAAAACAUCCACUCCAAUUAAGUACCUUUUAGUAGGAGGAGCAGAAGAAUGACUCCCAGGGCGCUAGUUGCCUCUUGGUAGUUAGGGUUUUUGUAUCUUUUCUGGAGAUUUUUACUUUCCAUUUUUCUUCAUACAGAUGAAGGGAGAAGAGAAAAAGCACUGGUCCUAUUGUUUCUGGUCCAACAGAGUCAGAAGUGCUUGUAGACAGAAGCGUGGCCGAUUUCAUAAGUGACCCAGAACUAGCCGGACUUCAAAGAGCUUCCUCUUUUCUCUGCAUGAAGAACUCCUUAAAGCCAUCCUUUUUCCUUUUACAAGGUGAACGCUUCAAAGCCCAUGGGAGGGUGUUCCCUUCGCGGUGUUUACCUUCCAGAGGUUACAAAAUGUUCUCUGAGUGCCUAGAAAUGACAGGCCAAGUGAACUAGUGAGAAAGCGCACGCCCGCUCUCUCUGAGAGCUAGGAGACGAUGUACCGGAUUCCCAACCCCAGCACUUGAAGCAGUGCAUCUGACGUAAGGAUCAGCCUUUCCAGGCAAGAUUACUUUGAGAUGCUGUGAAAGGUGCAGAGUAGUGCUCCGUGGUGCAGAACAGCUAAGAAGGCAUCCCGAAAGCUCAGUCAGAUGCUAAUGCAUCCUUUCAGGCCUCUGGUAACCAAGUUCCAUGUGUUCUAGCAAGCUCUGUGGGGCUGAAGACAGAGGCCGUGGUUUAGUAGCCCAGAAUCUCUUUUUGAGCAAAAGAACGUCUUACUUUGUAAGAUGUGUGUGUGUGUGUGUGUGUGUGUGUGUGUGUGUGCUUAUUUUGCAAACGUGUGUAAAAUCUUUAACACUUAUGUGAGAUACAUUUCCAAAUAGCUUAAGGAUCAGUUUGAAUUGGGUCUUUGUCCAAUGGGCACGUUGUUACUUUCUGCAUUUCCAUUCAGUAAAAUCAACAGAUUACCAAAAACAAAUGGCAAGAUAUCACACACACACACCACACACACACACGUGACAUAUAUGACUAUAUGACGUGUGUGUGUGUGUGUGUGUGUGUGUGUGUGUGUGUGUACUAUGAGAUGAGUCAUAGGACAGCAUCAUACCUGUUAUAACCAAUGGAAGCAAACACAUAGGAAGCUAAUGCUGGGUGGUUAGAUUAUGUAUUACUUCAUGUAUUUAUACUAGAGAAGAGUCAGGGUUUUUCUCUUUAGAUAUGAUCUCAUGUAGUCCGGAGUGCCUCACACUAGAUAUUUAUCUAAGCAAGAUAUCAAAAUGACUUUGAACUUCUGCCUCAGUGCAGGCGUUAUAGGUGUGUGUCAGCACAGUGAGUUCAUGUAAUCAGGGAACAAAAGUCAGGAUUUUGUGUAUACUAGACAAGCUGUCUACUAAAAGGUAUUAAUUCAUGUUGUGAAAGUGAUUUUACCCAUUGUAAAAUGUGUGUGUGUGUGUGUGUGUGUGUGUGUGUAUACAUAUGUUACCCAUGCAGGCUUGAUGAUGGAGUUGGUUUUCCUGCAACUGGAGUUACAGGUGACUGUGAGCUGCCUCAUGUGGGUGCCAGGAACCUAUUGCAAGACCUAAGUAAGACCAGGAAGUACUCUUCACUGGUGAAUCAUUUCUUCAACCCUCUAAUUCACGUUUAAAAACCUAGCGAAACUGAAUUUCCCCUGCAAAACUAUGUCGUCUCUGAGAAAACACACUAGAACAUCAAUUUUAUUUUAUACAGUGUGGCCAUCACCGUGAUAAAUGCAAGAAAAUGAAACGUUACUGCCUUUUAUCAAUGGCCGUCAGGGCCGAACACGGAGUUAUUAGACCUCAGAGAAAUGAUCUCUAAUCAACAGAGCAGUGAUCACGAAAUACCACACUCACAGUGAUUGAUGUGUGUCGUGAGUAGGUACUUGAUAGCGGUCACCCUUGCUGUAUGUGUUUGGACUCUGAUGUUUGGAUUGGCAUCAAGAGGCUCAUUUUCCCAGGGGACAAAGACAAGAGUCUGGCGCUGUCCUUUCCAGCCUGACCUAGCAGUAACUUUGAACUUGUUCAUUCCUCUGCAGCUGUGAUUCCCUUUCCAGGUUUCCAUGUACCCUUCCACAUUCAUAGUCUCUUCCUCUUAAUCCCUAAAGAAGUUUCCAUGGCUUGGUUGCUUGCUCCCUCCCUCCCUCCCUCCCUCCCUCCCUCCCUCCCUCCCUCCUUCCCUCCUUCCCUUCCUUUCCUCCCUCCCUCUUCCUUUCCCGCCUUCCUUCUUCUUUUUAUAUAUGUGUAAUUUUAUAGGUGUGUAUUUGUGCACAGAUGCAUGUGCCCAGUUGUGUGUGCACAUGGAAGCCAGAGAUCAACUUCAGACGUUCCACAGGGACAACAUCCACCUCAGCUUUUGUUUGUUUGUUCUGUUUUGUGUUUUGUUCUUUUCGAUGUGGAUUUUUCGCACUCGCCUGGAACUUCUACAGUUGGCGAAGCUGAAGUUCUAAUGAUUUCACCGCUCACUCCUCAGCAAGAUAUGCAGUUUCCACAUUGUUAUUCCAUAAUUUACGUGUGUGCGUUUUGCUCACCAUAACCAGAAUUUCCUUAAGUGCACAUAUUUCCUAUAUUUGUGCAUUUAUUGUGGCGGAGCAUGAUGGUAAGGGCCCCAGAGCAGAGACUUAGUGAGCUUGUGGCUCUACCAAUUUGAAUCCUGUGCCCGCUUACAAGUUAUUGAAUUUCAUCACAUUUCAGCUUUCCUCUUGGGAACCCGUAGCUAAUAUUACUAGCUAUAUAGAGUUGUUGGCGAGAUUGGCUAGCAUGACUGAAAAGCUUCACUUGUUUAAGGGCCACUGAAAUCAUUCAAUAAACAUUAUUAAUCUUGGUAGCAUGAGUAUAGCUAUUACCAUCCCCGGUGACAGCACAGAAAGCUGUGCAAUAAACAGACAAUAUACACAAUUUUAAAACAGCCUGAGGUGUGAUUGUUGCUUUGACUUUGAACUUGAGUCAAGCAGAGAUGAGAUUUCAGUCUUCCUGCCUCAGUAUCUCAAAUGCUGGGAUUAUAAGCAUAUGCCUUUAAAGUGUGUGUGUGUGUGUGUGUGUGUGUGUGUGUGUGUGUGUGUGUGUGAGAGAGAGAGAGAGAGAGAGAGAGAGAGAGAGAGAGAGAGAGAGAGAGAGAACAACUUCAGCUGUCACUGUCUGUGUCUUUUUCAGGGUGGGAUUUGGGGAAUCAAACUAAAGUCCUUGUACUUUUGUGGCAGGCACUUUAUCGACUGAGGCAUCACCCUGUCCACUCUAUGGCUACAUUUACAGAAGUGUUUACAUUUAUUGUGGCAUGAAUAUUCAUGAUAGCUAUUAAAUAUUUUAAAUUUUAUAACUUAUAAUUAUAGCGGUCACUUUAUAUACUUUUUCAAAACCCAGAGGAUUACAGUCCUGCACACUAGCCACAGCGAGAGUGGACAAAAAAAGAGACAAAGAAGGAAAUGAGAAUUUUCACAAUAGUAUUAUAGUUGCUGCUAUAACAAGGUAGAUUUCAUAAUCUGAGUAUACUGCACAAAUGAGUGGGGGAUCCCGAGAGACUGGUAGGAUCCUGAGUGAUGGGUGGGUCCCUGAGAGUGAUUCUGGGUCUUUUCAUACUAGCAUGCUCCUCUCUUGGAGAUGCUUGUAGGAAAGGAAGUGAGAAAGUCAGUUGGCUUUCUUGCUUCUCUGUUACCCAGGCCACUGACUCACCUACAGUCAGAGCAUUUGUUUCUUUCGGGGUGAUUAUUAGUAAGUGAUGACUAAGGUUCCCAGGCUAAUUAGUGAUUCCAAAAUAUUUUCCAAAGAACUAAGAUGCUCUGUUGUUUGUGUCCAUGUCCUUAAAGCCUUAUCAGAUGAAGUAAAUGAUCUCAUCACACUCCUCCCUGACUGGCACUACCGGGCUUUCCUCAUCAGAACAAUCGCAUUUCUGAUUCAGUUUGUUCAGAAGCGAUGCCGCUUCUCUUUUAUUGGCACUGAAGUCAGUGUUGUUCAGCAUGGUAAAAGGAUUUAAGAGAAUCUUUUGAACUCUAGGUUCUGUGUGGGUAUGUCCUGCUUGUAGCCUACACCUCAGGCUAUGGUCCUUCUAUGAAGGAAGUUGGUCCUUUAAGGUUCCAAAUAAUGGGUAAUAAGGGUUGUCCCCUGUUACUGAGGAGAGUUAAGCAUUUGAUGUGCAAGUCUGAGUAGCAGGGCUUCACAAUGAUAGGUUGAUGAGAACAAGGGAGCUCCGGAGCCUCAAAGCCUGAGUUUGUGUCAUGGGUUGUCUCUCACACAAUCGGUUGUUGAGUUCAGUUCUGUCCACUGCUCUUAUUGGUGACUAGACCAUCCAAAACCAUACUGUAUGGUGUUUUAGAAAAUACCACAGUCUAUCAGUUAGGGAAAACUCAAUGAAAGCUACUCCCUCAAGAGAAGGCGUGUGACUAUUCCAGUCAAUAGGAGGUAAGUGAUUGAAUAAACACUGUCACUUUUCAAAACCUAUUAAAUGACAAAUGGCAUGUAUCGGAGUGAACCUUCAAUUCAGUUAAUGUGAUCUCACCCAGCCUCAAAGCCAAGGAUGCUCUAUGUCUCGUGCAGACUUUUUGUGUCUGUAGGCCAUGACACUAUCUUUGCCAGGCCCAGAGCAUGUUCUUCCUGGUCUGACUGCUUCUCACCACUCCAGCAUCUAGAGCUGAAUCUCACCACCUCCACCCAGCUUGACUUCACACACUCUCUCUCUCCACCCUAAUGAGCCAUGCUCCAGAGCACCCUUGAUGUACCCUCCAUGGCAAGAGGCUCUCACCCACCGAUUCCUUAUUUUAACACCCACCUCUCUCUCCUUUACCUAUCUUCUCAAAUGCUGUUACCUCUGCAAGAUCCUCCAAAAAUAUUCCUUCUGCCCAGUAACAAUUUAGACUCUGUCCUUAGAUGUUCUUCUAAAUCUUUGUUUAUUGUCAGUUCCUCCACGAGCCUUGGGACACAUCGAUAAUGGCACGUUUGUGGGAGACUUCACACCGCUAGUGUACUACAAAUCCUGAUACACAGAAGAGCUCACCAAAUAUGUGUAAACUAGAUAUAAGAACUUACUUGAUUUGGAUAGGAACAUCCUCAUUUUAUGGCUAUGAAAACUGGAAUAUACUCAUUCCAAAGGACACAGUUAGACUAUGGAAGCAUUUGAAUGAAGCUAUGGCUUCUUUGAAUGCAUUUAAUGGCCAUUAGCUUUUGGGCGAUCACAUUCACCUCUAAGUGGAGGAAGAGGCAGACACAUAAAAAUUAGUAAGGAUAAGUCAGAGUAAAGUUGAUGGUAAUUUUAUCACAUCAUGUAAAUGAGGAAUGGAUGAACAAAUGAGACAAAGAUUUUAAGGGCUAUAUUGACUCUGACCAGUGACACUCCACUAAUAAAGUUGAAGAAUCUGCAAGGUGCAGAAUUGUCCUUGUGAACUUGGAGCAUUGCUCCUUAGGUGGCGGCAGGCUUCCACUCUCUCUGAUAUGCUACUCACUAGUGAGCAAUAAGUUGGACAGAGUAAUAAAAAUAGUAAGACAUAAUGACAAUCCCCCUGGUUCUCCCAAGUCACCUUGCAGCUGAAACCUGGGGCUUUGCAAUAGCAUAGGGUGACUUAUAGGACACAAGGGGUCGAUAAAUUGAGAAACUUAGGGAUGAAUGUAGGGGAUGAAUGCACUCAAGUGGUUAUUCAUAAUUUGGAUUCUCUACCAACCACUUUAUUCUCAAUAGCCCAAGACUUAGAAUUCCUGUUUUCCUUUGCUUUAUUGUGUCCUAUUUUAUCUAAAGUCUCUUUGUUUUGGGAAUUUGACUAUAUCCCGAAUUGCUACAAAGAAAACCAAUAGAAAUAAAGAAAUGAAAAAAUAACUUGCUUCCUCAAACCUUGUCACUUAUUUUUCUAUUCAGACAAAGUGUGUACAAGACAGACAUCUGAAAGAGACAUGAGUAACUCUUUGGACCUAUGAAGAUGGCGUUCGAAUUUCCUUUAUUUUGGUGUCAUUUGACCACAUGUCCCAACCUUUUAACGACACAGAAGUCUGCGGUGGGGAUAUGGAAGCUAUGCAGGGUUGAGUGAAAGGGCAAAGUCUCAGAAAAUACAGAAAGUCCAGGUGAGGUCAGGCUUUCCUGGAAACCUGGAACCUUCUUCUCUUUCCCCCUCAUCAUACAGAGAAAAUUCUGGGCUGUUGGCAGCAUAAUGGAUGAACUAGCAGUGGAGCGAAUGUGCCUAUGCUUCCAGAAGUUCACUCUCUUAGGAGGGUGUUUUCUAGAGCCUGUCAGAAGAGGGUAGAAAUUAUCCAUUGUUUUUACCUUGAUUUUCUGGAUGCUUAGAAGGAAGUUUCAGACUUUAACCUUAGUUUAACCAUAUAUAUAAGCCAAAAAGAGGUGUUUGGUCCUCUAGAAAUAGAGUUAUAGUUGGUUAUGAACUACCACGUAGAUUCUGGAAUAGAAGCAGGGUCUUCUGCAAGAGCUAAAUAAAUAAAUAAAUAAAUAUGCUAAUAAUUGCUGAUGUAUCUUUUCUGUCUCUAACCUUAAGAUUUCUUUUUUAAUUCUAGCAUUCAGAAAGGCCUAAAAACCUGAGUUUUAAUAUCAAGAUCAUGGAAACCUGGGUAACUCAUUUCCCAUAGUUUGGAACACAUGGUUUGUCUUGUUGUUGAGAUUUCAAAGUGGCUUCAGGGAUUAAAAUAGUCAUUUUACUUCAUGCCUUUCUUUCAUGCAUAAUGUUGGAGUCUAUUAAUUAUACAAUAGCAUUUAAUUUAAAAUAUACACUGAGAACAAAAGGCCCCCUUUUUGUACAUCUAAAGCAGAUCUCGCUCAUCUCAUUGUUGAAAGGUCUCUCUGGUAAUAUUGUGCUUUCUUUCUGCAAAUAAUUGGCAUUGCGACAUCCCUGUAUCUUUAUUUUUUUUAAUAGUUUAAUAUGAUUUUGUACCUGCUCCAGCUUCCCAUUUAAGUGCUGCUCCUUGUUAUAUCAGUCUCCAUUCUUAGCAAAAAAUGAGGCUGUUUUUGUUAGAUUAACCUUCUUCCCUUUCCUUCUUUGUGUAUUUUAGCUUUCAGCUCUACCCACUUAGUUAUAACGUAGUUGGGAGCAAAAGUACCAGAAUGUAACCCACUGGGAAAAUCAAGUCAGGAAAGAAGACCUGGUGCUGAGAAUUUGCCUAAGGAGCAUCUCUUAGGCAUUUCAAGGCCCAUCUGUCACUCACCAGCUGGGUGUUCUUCCCAAGACUCAGAAGUUCUAAUUUCUCUGACCUAAAUUGAAAACACCCAUUUCCUUUAUAUUACAGGUGGACAUGGUUCAUUCCCAUCUGUAUUUUGAGAGUGACUUGUCCCUAAAGACACCACUGAAAUAUAAAAAGGAAGCCAGGAGUAAGUUGUGUCAUACAACUCAUCCAAUGAAGAACAAGGGGCGGUGCCCCGUAGAUCAUGAAUUUCUAUCUGCUACCCUUCUCUCAACAGGAAACACAUCCCCGCCUUUGGUUUGAAUCCAACUGUCUUUAAUCUGGGUAUGUGAUCAUUUGUGGGGAGCAUGACAGGUAUAGUAUUCCUUAGGGCUAUCAAAUUUCUGCCAUUAGAAGAAAAAGUUGUGUGCGCCCAUGUGCGUUUUUAGGAGAGCUUUCCCUGACUGUAAGAUUUUCUCAGUGACACAGGAUACCAAAAAAGACGAAGAGCCAUCGAUGUCAUGACCCAACAUGAUGGAUUGUAAAAAGUCGUCCCAUAUUGGGAUGACACGACUUUUACUGCUUGGGAGGAUUCCUUUGGUUUGGGAAGGAUCAUGAGGAUUAUCCCCCAAUCCUUAGAGCCAGGAGGUCAUCUUCCCUGACGUAGCUUCUCUAUUACUCGAGAAAUUGUGGUGUGGUUUUUAGCUGUGGUUAGUUCCUUUAUGCUUUUUGUUUUGUUUUGUUUUUAAUUUUUUUUUUGAUUUUGCUUUUUGCGGGGAAGGUAGUGCUGAGGACUGAACCCCAAGGCUUUACAAGUGCCAGACCUCCGUCAGUAUUGCCAUAUGGCACCUCUCAUUUCCCAAAACGUACUCUGACAAUUGGUAGGACUUUGAGGAUGAAGGAAAAGGAAAGCACACAUCAGGAAUUCAAACUCUGUGAGAAUUUUCCUACUUCUCCUUUAGUCUCCAAAGCCACCAAGUCUUUACUGAGAGCCUGGUGCAGCCAGAAGCGUAGAUUAAAAACUCAUUUGUAAAGGGAUCAGUCCUUAAACAGAUCUCCAAAGGGAUGGGAGCUUUCAAAGGUCCCACCAAUUCUUUAGUGUUAGUAUCUGUUACUCAAGAGUUUACCAAGUUUUACUUGGAGAAACUCACCCAACAUACACUGUAGCGCACAGAUCAUAAUAAAUCCAAGUGGUUAUGUUUUCUUAUCUUUAAAACGAGAGCAGUCAGAUUCCCUUUCAUAUGCAGAAACUGCCUAAGCAAAUAUUUUCUUAGUGCACAGUACAAUGGCAGACCAAUAUGCAUUUGAGCUAUGUUUCCUAUUAUAAUUACAGUUAUGAAUACAGUAGAGUUUGCAGAACAGGAAACUGAGAAACACAGAAGUAGGGAGCUUGCACGAAGGGUUACCCUUAUAUUAACGUUUGCUUAUUCAAUCUUCAUUGAGUCUAUGUUUUAAAAAUUCAUCUAUUUUAUUUAUGUAGUUGGUAUGUGUGUGUGUGUGUGUGUGUGUGUGUGUGUGAGAGAGAGAGAGAGAGAGAGAGAGAGAGAGAGAGAGAGAGGGAGAGAGGGAGAGAGAGAGGGAGAGAGAGAGAAUGUGUGAGCAUUUGCAUCCAUGGUGUAUACGUAGAGGACAACUUGUAGGGGCCUCUUCUUGCUUUCUGCCAUGCAGGUCCCCGGGUUUGGUGGCUGGUACCUUUAUCCACUGAACCAUCUGGCUGGCCCAAAUCUAAGUUUUACCAUUUGCUAGGAAUUGAAAGUUAGUUCAGCAGGGCCAUAUUAAUGUUCUUCCGUAUGUAUAUGCUCAUGUGUGUGUAGAAGUGUAUGUGUGUGCACCUGCACAUAUGUGUGUAUGCAUUUGGAGGCCAUUGGUCAAUCUUGGGUCUUUUUCCCCAAGGGUCAUCUAUUUUGUGAUACAUGCUUUCUAAACUGACCUUGGGCUCACCUGUUACACAACCGUGGCUCACUAGUGAGCUCCAGGAAUCCACCUCUCUCUACCCAGACAUCAGUGGGAAUACAACCACAUGCAACUGUGUGUGACGUUUUAUGUAGGGUCUGGGCAUCAAAAUCAAGUCCUUACUCUUGCAUAGUGUAAGUACGUCUCUGACCGAGCUGUUUCCACAGAGCAGAACUUACUUAACUCAUCUUCAUUUGGAGCUUCUUUUUCCUCCAUCUUCAUUGGAUGUCAUAUUUUAAUGGGUUCUUUUUACUUAUCUAAAAAAUGGAUCGAUAAAAAAAAAUGGAUCGGACCUAUAUUUGCUCCAGAUUCUAUGUUUUAGAGUUAAGAGAUCUAAAGGAAAUGACCAUCCAAAUCUAUUUAGUAUUUUCUGCUACUGUGGGGGCAUUUGUGUCUUUCUGAUACUGUUUGUGUUAAUUGGCAGGAAGGAAGGACCCUAUUAGGAGAAAUUUGGACAUGGUAAGGAAGAUCCUUUUUAAAAUGUAUUUGUGUGGUGUUGGUUAUUCACCCGUGGAACCUUUGAAGGUAAGGAGCACCCAUAUGGCUUAUAGAAUAGUAUGUUUCUAGUAGGGACUAAAUAUUUAUAUAUGACAAAGAACAUUUGUGGUCACUCGGUUUCAGGGAAAAACACAGCUCCAUCAAUCUUAGCGCUGUGAAGGCAAGUACUGUUCCCUCCACAGAAUAUUAUGUUGCAGGGAGGUGAGGUGUGUUUAAGGAGCUCCUGACUGAGUGGAAAAGGAUGGAAAGCAAAGUGACCUAACUACAUGCAAUCCCGUCAUCCUUCUGAUGCUGUUGCCUAUGUUCAGUGCCAUUGUGACUUCUUCCCUUCUGCCCUGGGCACCGAGCUUGAUGAAUCACAUGCCACUCCUUCUCACCACUCUUGUGGCCAUCGUUCAAGUUGCUGACAUGGCUCUCUAUAUCUGGGUACCUGGGAGAGUCAUGGCCACACGUUGUGAGACAAUGUUUCCUGUUGGCUUGUUUAGGGGAGAAGAGAGGGAUAAGCUAAAAAUUUGACUUCUGUUUUCAACCAAACAUUUUGUCUGUCGUGGAAAAUUUAGUCAUAUUAACACCAGUAAGAAAAAGGCUCUGUUUAAAUUUGUUAUUUAAGGUAAUAAUGGAAUGACUGAUACCUGGCUAGCUCUCUGUAACGAGAAACUUGCAAGUCAAGAACAUCAUUGAUCUUUCUUAUGAACGUGGUUUUGGUUGCCAUUCUGUAAAAGUGUGUUAAGAUGUUCAAUACAGUAGCUACUGGUCCCAGGUAACUACUGAACACAUGAAAUGUGAGUUCAAGUCCAGAUGUAUUUGUAAGUAUGAGAUAUGUUAUACACAUGACGUCACAGACCACAAUGAUUUUUGUGUAUUGAAGGCUGAAAGGAACUAUUUGGAAACUAUUGUACAGGAUGUCAUAGACUUCAAGUAAAAGACAGCUCAAUAAUUUCUUUUCAUUGUAGGUUGAAAGGGAAAUAUUUUAGAAGUAUGAUAUAGCUGCCUCCUGAGAAGCUCUGCCAGAGCCUGACAAAUACAGAGAGGUGUAUGCUCGCAGCCAACCGUUGGACUGAGAACGGAUCCCCAAUGGAAGAGUUAGAGAAAGGCUGAGGAUAUCAGCCUGGCCUGGGCUUGGCUGGCCAUCAAGACUCAGGGACUUGCCUGACUCAGCCUCUCUGGUAUUGUGACCCAAGGCGUGGCAGUAACCAUGACUCUGGACUAUUUAAAACUGUGAAUCCUGGAGAUGGAAGUCUGAUCCUCGUGCUUGCAUGGCAAUCAUGUUACUCUAAACUAGUACCCAAACCUUGUUCCAUUUAUAUGAAAUGUCCAAAAUGCUGAACCAUAGAAAGAAGCGAGUGGUUCCCUAAGGGUGAGGGUGGGAAUUUAGGAGAUAGGAAGUAAAGGACCUAUCUUUAUGUGUGCUUGAUGAUAAAAACUGGUUUGAACUGGACUAUUAAAACAUUUGCACAAUGAUAUGAAUGUGCUACAGCUAUUAAAUUGUCUCCCUUAUAAGGCAAAUUUUAUGGUAUGUUCCUCAGUGAAGCUGUGAAAAUCCGAAGUGUAUUGCCCUUUCUUCUUUAUUGAAUUGGUGCCUUGUGGAUACAGGAUUCCAACGAAGGAACAUUGCCUUUGGAGACAUAAGAUCUUAGACUAAUAAAGGAACAUUCCAAACAUAAUCCGGAAAUGAUGACAAAACAUAACAAUGGUUCUCAAAGCUUCUGAAAAGUUAGAGAUGCCCGAAUGUCAAAAGCUGGGAUUACAAGUGCCCAGAGAUUGGAGAACAAAUCUGGAGGAAUGGGCUUUGUUUCAACACCUGCCUCUGGACUGAGAGUCCUAAUCUAAUGAUCUAAUGAUCGCCGAAGAGAUGCAGGCUCAGCAAAGGCCAAGGCAAAAAAAAAAAAGAAAAGUAAGAAAUGUGUUCAAUAGAAAAUUUCUCCAUCCACCCCAAAAGUGCAAUCCCCGUUCAUUCCUAUGCAGAAUAAAGAUUUCUUACAAAAA